rnacentral:rRNA from 1 species
AGCGAACGCUGGCGGCAGGCUUAACACAUGCAAGUCGAGCGGGCCCUUCGGGGUCAGCGGCAGACGGGUGAGUAACACGUGGGAACGUACCCUUUGGUUCGGAAUAACGCUGGGAAACUAGCGCUAAUACCGGAUACGCCCUUUUGGGGAAAGGCUUGCUGCCGAAGGAUCGGCCCGCGUCUGAUUAGCUAGUUGGUGGGGUAAUGGCCUACCAAGGCGACGAUCAGUAACUGGUCUGAGAGGAUGAUCAGCCACACUGGGACUGAGACACGGCCCAGACUCCUACGGGAGGCAGCAGUGGGGAAUAUUGGACAAUGGGCGCAAGCCUGAUCCAGCCAUGCCGCGUGAGUGAUGAAGGCCUUAGGGUUGUAAAGCUCUUUUGUCCGGGACGAUAAUGACGGUACCGGAAGAAUAAGCCCCGGCUAACUUCGUG